UAGCGGAACUCCUACGGGAGGCAGCAGUGGGGAAUUUUGGACGAUGGGCGCAAGCCUGAUCCAGCCAUGCCGCGUGAGUGAAGAAGGCCUUCGGGUUGUAAAGCUCUUUCGGCCGGGAAGAAAUCGUGGUCUCUAACAUAGGCCAUGGAUGACGGUACCGGACUAAGAAGCACCGGCUAACUACGUGCCAGCAGCCGCGGUAAUACGUAGGGUGCGAGCGUUAAUCGGAAUUACUGGGCGUAAAGCGUGCGCAGGCGGUUUUGUAAGACAGAUGUGAAAUCCCCGGGCUUAACCUGGGAACUGCGUUUGUGACUGCAAGGCUAGAGUACGGCAGAGGGGGUGGAAUUCCUGGUGUAGCAGUGAAAUGCGUAGAUAUCAGGAGGAACACCGAUGGCGAAGGCAGCCCCCUGGGCCUGUACUGACGCUCAUGCACGAAAGCGUGGGGAGCAAACAGGAUUAGAAACCCCGGUAGUCCACUUAUG
rnacentral:rRNA from 1 species